rnacentral:other from 1 species
UGUGGCCUAGAAUGCGCGCCAGCCAAGAAGUCCCUGAGCCGAUACAUAUAAAUAGGCUUCUCGUAGUUGACAUUGUUGUGCAAUUCCGCGCGACGGAACGCCUGAUAUGUUACUUGAGUUGCCACCUUGAACUUUUCGGUUCAAGGCCACUUUGGCAGCGGCAUUUCUGGGUGCUAC